ACGGAGGGUGCAAGCGUUGUUCGGAAUUAUUGGGCGUAAAGGGCGCGUAGGCGGUUAUGUAAGUCAGAUGUGAAAUACUUCAGCUCAACCGAAGAACUGCAUUUGAUACUGCACGACUAGAGUACAGGAGAGGGGGAUGGAAUUCCCGGUGUAGAGGUGAAAUGCGUAGAUAUCGGGAGGAACACCGGUGGCGAAGGCGAUUUCCUGGGAUGAUACUGACGCUGAUGCGCGAAAGCGUGGGGAGCAAACAG
rnacentral:rRNA from 1 species